rnacentral:rRNA from 1 species
GACGAACGCUGGCGGCGUGCUUAACACAUGCAAGUCGAACGGAAAGGCCCUGCUUUUGUGGGGUUCUCGAGUGGCGAACGGGUGAGUAACCCGUGAGUAACCUUCCCUUGACUGGGGGAUAACUGCAGGAAACUGGUGCUAAUACCGACUAGGAGCUCCUGCUGCAUGGUGGGGGUUGGAAAGUUUCGGCGGAUGGGGAUGGACUCGCGGCUUAUCAGCUUGUUGGUGGGGUAGUUGCUUACCAAGGCUUUGACGGAUAGCCGGCCUGAGAGGGUGACCGGCCACAUUGGGACUAAGAUACGGACCAGACUCGUACGGGAGGCAGCAGUGGGGAAUAUUGCACAAUGGGCGGAAGCCUGAUGCAGAAACGCCGCGUGCGGGAUGAAGGCCUUCGGGUUGUAAACCGCUUUAGCCUGUGACGAAGCGUGAGUGACGGUAAUGGGUAAAGAAGCACCGGCUAACUACGUG